CAUACAAUAAGCGGAGGAAAAGAAACUAACAAGGAUUCCCCUAGUAACUGCGAGUGAAGCGGGAAAAGCUCAAAUUUAAAAUCUGGCGGUCUUUGGCCGUCCGAGUUGUAAUCUAGAGAAGUGCUAUCCGCGCUGGACCGUGUACAAGUCUCCUGGAAUGGAGCGUCAUAGAGGGUGAGAAUCCCGUCUUUGACACGGACUGCCAGGGCUUUGUGAUGUGCUCUCAAAGAGUCGAGUUGUUUGGGAAUGCAGCUCAAAAUGGGUGGUAAAUUCCAUCUAAAGCUAAAUAUUGGCGAGAGACCGAUAGCGAACAAGUACCGUGAGGGAAAGAUGAAAAGAACUUUGGAAAGAGAGUUAAACAGUACGUGAAAUUGCUGAAAGGGAAACGCUUGAAGUCAGUCGCGUUGUCCAGGGAUCAUCCUUGCUUUUGCUUGGUGCACUUUCUGGUUGAUGGGUCAGCAUCAAUUUUGACCAUUGGAAAAAGAUUAGGGGAAUGUGGCAUCUUUGGAUGUGUUAUAGCCCUUUGUUGCAUACAAUGGUUGGGAUUGAGGAACUCAGCACGCCGCAAGGCCGGGUUUUUAACCACGUACGUGCUUAGGAUGCUGGCAUAAUGGCUUUAAUCGACCCGUCUUGAAACACGGACCAAGGAGUCUAACAUGCCUGCGAGUGUUUGGGUGGAAAACCCGAGCGCGUAAUGAAAGUGAAAGUUGAGAUCCCUGUCGUGGGGAGCAUCGACGCCCGGACCAGACCUUUUGUGACGGUUCCGCGGUAGAGCAUGUAUGUUGGGACCCGAAAGAUGGUGAACUAUGCCUGAAUAGGGUGAAGCCAGAGGAAACUCUGGUGGAGGCUCGUAGCGAUUCUGACGUGCAAAUCGAUCGUCAAAUUUGGGUAUAGGGGCGAAAGACUAAUCGAACCAUCUAGUAGCUG
rnacentral:rRNA from 1 species